rnacentral:rRNA from 1 species
GACGAACGCUGGCGGCGUGCUUAACACAUGCAAGUCGAACGGAAAGGCCCUGCUUUUGUGGGGUGCUCGAGUGGCGAACGGGUGAGUAACACGUGAGUAACCUGCCCUUGACUUUGGGAUAACUUCAGGAAACUGGGGCUAAUACCGGAUAGGAGCUCCUGCUGCAUGGUGGGGGUUGGAAAGUUUCGGCGGUUGGGGAUGGACUCGCGGCUUAUCAGCUUGUUGGUGGGGUAGUGGCUUACCAAGGCUUUGACCGGUAGCCGGCCGGAGAGGAUGACCGGCCACAUUGGAACUGAGAUACGACCCAGACGCCUACGGGGGGCAGCAGUGGGGAAUAUUGCACAAUGGGCGGAAGCCUGAUGCAGCAACGCCGCGUGCGGGAAGACGGCCUUCGUGUUGUAAACCGCUUUCACCUGUGACGAAGCGUGAGUGACGGUAAUGGGUAAAGAAGCACCGGCUAACUGCGUG